CCUACGGGAGGCAGCAGUGGGGAAUAUUGGACAAUGGGCGAAAGCCUGAUCCAGCCAUGCCGCGUGUGUGAAGAAGGUCUUCGGAUUGUAAAGCACUUUAAGUUGGGAGGAAGGGCAUUAACCUAAUACGUUAGUGUUUUGACGUUACCGACAGAAUAAGCACCGGCUAACUCUGUGCCAGCAGCCGCGGUAAUACAGAGGGUGCAAGCGUUAAUCGGAAUUACUGGGCGUAAAGCGCGCGUAGGUGGUUUGUUAAGUUGGAUGUGAAAUCCCCGGGCUCAACCUGGGAACUGCAUUCAAAACUGACUGACUAGAGUAUGGUAGAGGGUGGUGGAAUUUCCUGUGUAGCGGUGAAAUGCGUAGAUAUAGGAAGGAACACCAGUGGCGAAGGCGACCACCUGGACUAAUACUGACACUGAGGUGCGAAAGCGUGGGGAGCAAACAGGAUUAGAUACCCUGGUAGUCCACGCCGUAAACGAUGUCAACUAGCCGUUGGAAGCCUUGAGUCUUUAGUUGGUCGCAGCGUACGACGAUUAGUUAGUACCGACCGUCGGGAGGUACGGCCGGCGUAAGUUAAACGUUAACGAAAGUAAAGUUAGUUACGGACGUUGAGACGNGCGACGGACGACGACGAGGGAGGAGG
rnacentral:rRNA from 1 species